CCUCCUCUGGUGACUUACUGGGAGCUGUUCCUUGCUGAGUCUCAACAUCUUUCUAAGUAAACUGGGGAUAAUAAUAUUUAUCUUCAGGGAGGCUGUGAGAAUCAAAAGCGUUAAUGCCUAUAACCUACAGUAAGCACGUUGUAAAUACAGAGCGUUGUUAAUCCCUUGGGACUCGGUGUUCUCACUGCACUGCCCUUCUCUUCAUUGACUGUACUUCUUACUAGGAAACCACAGAUCACCAAGUUUCUAGCAGAGCUUAUGGUUUCCUGUUACCAGUCACACGCUCCUGAGCAAAGGAGAUAUGUUAAAUGUCCAAGGAAUAUUAUUUCAGAUUAAAUUCUUCAAGUUGGUAGAAAAACUAAUUAUAAAUCUACUGACCUAAUCCCUGACCAUGUUGACUUCAUCAUUAUUUAUUGCUUGUAUCUUCCGUUACUUUCCAGUUACUGUCUCCUAUUAGUGAAGCAUAUUGUAAAUAAUGGAAGGAAGAGGACCUCACCUCCCCAUUUCUCUCAAACAAGCCACUUUAAAUCAGCUUGAAGACAUGAAUGUAUUCCUGUUUAUUCCUGACCUUGAAAUAAUCCCAAAUGUGAAAAGCUGUUUGACUCCCAUCACAGAACUACAUAUGUGUGUGUAUUCAUAG
rnacentral:lncRNA from 1 species